GGCUCAGUAACACGCGGGUAAUCUGCCCUCGGGACGGAGAUAACCCCGGGAAACUGGGGAUAAUAACCGAUAGGUAGAAGCGUCUGGAAAGAUCUUCUGCCCAAAUCCUUCGGGGCCCGAGGAUGAGCCUGCGGCCGAUUAGGUUGUUGGCGGUGUAAAGGACCAUCAAGCCUCAGAUCGGUACGGGCACUGAGAGGUGGAGCCCGGAGAUGGAGACUGAGACAAGGCUCCAGGCCCUACGGGGCGCAGCAGGCGCGAAAACUCCGCAAUGCGCGAAAGCGUGACGGGGGAACCUCAAGUGUGCUCACUUUUUGUGGGCACUUUUGUAGAGUUUAAACAGCUCUGCGAAUAAGAGCGGGGUAAGACCGGUGCCAGCCGCCGCGGUAACACCGGCCGCUCGAGUGGUGGCCACUAUUAUUGGGCCUAAAGCGUCCGUAGCCGGUCCAUUAAGUCCCUUGGUAGAUCCCUCUGCUUAACAGAUGGAAUUCUGGGGAUACUGCUGGACUAGGGGGCGAGAGAAGUCAGAGGUACUCCGGGGGUAGCGGUGAAAUGUUAUAAUCCUCGGGGGACCACCAGUGGCGAAGGCGUCUGACUAGAGCGCGCUCGACGGUGAUGGACGAAAGCCAGGGGAGCGAACGGGAUUAGAUACCCCGGUAGUCCUGGCCGUAAACGCUGCGGGCUAGGUGUUACGUCCUCUACGUGGGGAUGUAGUGCCGAAGAGAAGUUGAUAAGCCCGCCGCCUGGGAAGUAUUACCGCAAGGUAGGAACUUAAAGGAAUUGGCGGGGGAGCACCACAAGGGGUGAAGUCUGCGGUUCAAUUGGAUUCAACGCCGGAAAUCUCACCGGAGGCGACGGCAGGAUGAAGGCCAAGCUGAUGACUUUGCCGAACGAGCCGAGAGGAGGUGCAUGGCCGUCGUCAGCUCGUACCGUGAGGCGUCCUGUUAAGUCAGGCAACGAGCGAGACCCGCGCCCUUAUUUGUCAUCCUGUCUCUGCGGAGGCAGGGACACAUUAAGGGGACCGCUGCUGAUAAAGCAGAGGAAGGAGCGAGCGACGAUAGGUCAGUAUGCCCCGAAUCUCCCGGGCUACACGCGGACUGCAAUGGGUGCUACAAUGAGCUCCGACCUCGAAAGGGGAAGGCAAUCUCAAAAAGCACUCUCAAUUCGGAUUGAGGGCUGUAACUCGCCCUCAUGAAGCCGGAAUCCCUAGUAAUCGCGUCUCA
rnacentral:rRNA from 1 species